GACGAACGCGUGGCGGCGCGCCUAACACAUGCAAGUCGAACGGAGCGUUGAGAGAGCUUGCUUUUUUAAGCUUAGUGGCGAACGGGUGAGUAACGCGUGAGUAACCUGCCCUGGAGUGGGGGACAACAGUUGGAAACGACUGCUAAUACCGCAUAAGCCCACAGCUCGGCAUCGAGCAGAGGGAAAAGGAGUGAUCCGCUUUGAGAUGGCCUCGCGUCCGAUUAGCUGGUUGGUGAGGUAACGGCCCACCAAGGCAACGAUACAUAGCCGACCUGAGAGGGUGAUCGGCCACACUGGGACUGAGACACGGCCCAG
rnacentral:rRNA from 1 species